UACGUAGGGUGCGAGCGUUGUCCGGAAUUAUUGGGCGUAAAGAGCUCGUAGGCGGUGUGUCACGUCGGCCGUGAAAACCUGGGGCUUAACUCUGGGCGUGCGGUCGAUACGGGCAUCACUAGAGUUCGGCAGGGGAGACUGGAAUUCCUGGUGUAGCGGUGAAAUGCGCAGAUAUCAGGAGGAACACCGGUGGCGAAGGCGGGUCUCUGGGCCGAUACUGACGCUGAGGAGCGAAAGCCAUGGGUAGCGAACAGG
rnacentral:rRNA from 1 species